rnacentral:rRNA from 1 species
AUACUGAGGGUGCAAGCGUUUAUCGGAAUUACUGGGCGUAAAGCGCACGGAGGCGGGUUAUUAAGUCAGAUGUGAAAGCCCUGGGCUUAACCUGGGAACUGCAUUUGAGACUGGUAGGCUCGAGUAUGGUAGAGGAUAGUGGAAUUCCGGGUGUAGCGGUGAAAUGCGUAGAUAUCCGGAGGAACAUCAGUGGCGAAGGCGGCUAUCUGGACCAAUACUGACGCUGAGGUGCGAAAGCGUGGGGAGCAAACAGGAUUAGAUACCCCAGUAGUCC